AAUAUUGCGCAAUGGACGAAAGUCUGACGCAGCCACGCCGCGUGAGUGAGGAAGGCCUUCGGGUUGUAAAGCUCUGUCGGCUGGGAAAAACGGCUAUCCGGGGAAAGUUCGGGUAGCGUGAUGGUACCAGCAAAGGAAGCACCGGCAAACUCUGUGCCAGCAGCCGCGGUAAUACAGAGGGUGCAAGCGUUGUUCGGAAUUACUGGGCGUAAAGCGUGCGUAGUCGGUAUUGAGAGUCGCGGGUGAAAUCCCAGGGCUUAACCCUGGAACUGCCUGCGAGACCUCAGUACUAGAGUGUGAGAGGGGAUAGUGGAAUACCCAGUGUAGCGGUGAAAUGCGUAGAGAUUGGGUGGAACACCGGUGGCGAAGGCGGCUAUCUGGCUCACAACUGACGAUCAGGCACGAAAGCGUGGGGAGC
rnacentral:rRNA from 1 species